ACACAUAAGAAGGCCCUACUAUGCACCACGCCUGGUGCUAGCACUGGGCCACUGUCUAGAGGGGGAGACAGAUGCUCAUUGCAAUGGCGACCGUUUCCAGGAAGGAGAGAUUCAGGGGUGUUGGAGGGAUCACCAGGUGAGGGGGUCGGAGGAGGUGGCCCUGAGUGAGCUGUAUCGGUGUCUGAAGUGGGGAGGAAGAGCGCUGUGGGCAGAGGGAAGAGGGUGGAGCUCGGUGGUGGGAGGAAGCGGAGCACGUGGCACAGAGGCGCUGAGCACUCCCAAGGCUGCAACCCCGGGGAAGGGCCAGACCAUAGCUAUAUUUAUUGCACAUGGUGCCGGAGAAUGGCUAUGAGCAAGACAGAGGUGGUCUCUGUUCUCAAGGCAGCUACAGAGGGACAGCCACUCCCCCAGCCCCCAACUAUGAGCUUCCCAGAACUGGCCUGAAGGUGCAGCUGCAAUGAUACGGGCUCACAUCCUGGCAUCCUCAUUUGCUAGCGUGAAAAUCGCAUUUCUCCAAACCUCGGUUUUCUCAUCUGAAAAACAGGCACAGCACCUAGUUUGCAGGACUGGGAAAGUUACAGAGGGUUAAUGGCAAUGCGGUUGGCCUUGGGCACUCCUUGUUCUGACCUCUGGAGUUCGGCUGCCCUGUGGUCUGGCCCUGGCUCUGUGGAGAGGCUUUCCCAGGCCGAGGGGCUCACCAGGCCUUCCCUAGUGAGGAGCUCUUUCUGCCAGAGCUGAGCUCAUGGGCAGGGCGGGGCGCAGAGGCCACAUAUCAGCCAGCUGUCCUCCCUUUCCUGGGAGCUGGUCCAGAGACGAGGGGCAGGGCGUCUGGUUUUCAUUGUGCGGCCGUCUCUAAUUCCUCUGGCAUCUGAGCUACUUUUCAGAAGGAGGGAGAUGCACUUAACUGGUUGUGACCCAGCUUGGUGCUGAGGAAGAAGCCCUGGGCCUGGGAUCAAGCAGAGUUGAACUCGAAGCCUGCCUCAGCCACUUACCUGCUGUGUGACGCGGGGAGGCCACUGUAGAGCUGGCACGAAGGAGGCUUCCUGUCUGAAGGAGCUGGUGCAGACACACCGGUGGGGCACCCGGCAGAACAACAGCAGAAGAUCUGCAAUCACACGAACUGGCUGCCUGUUCUCUACACGAGUCCAAAUGCUGUCAGGCUCAUUUCUCUGUUUGACAGUGAGCCAUGGACAAGCUGUGGGGCAAAAGCAAGAACUGUACGUGGUCUCCAUUUACAGAACUCCCAGGCUGGUGGAGGUGGCUUUUGGUACAACUCAGGUCUGAGGGCAAAAAUACACACUUUGGCUUUGCACAAAGGGGCUGACGACCCCAUACGUACCCUAGCACCUGGGCUGCCCAGCUAAAGAGGUCAAGUGGCCACAAGCUGAGCCUACGGUAAUCUUUAAUAACUAGAGUAAAUUUCCUUGUGAACUGGAGAAUUGGUAAGACAAGCUCAAAACCAGAUCUUCCAACUGGCCUCCCUAUCCCCCAGCUCCCUCCUUCCUUUUUUCUAUCUCCUUAGCGAUUGUUGUCUUCUCCAAAGGGUCUCCCCUUUCCAAACCCCAACAUGAUUCUGUUUUGCCUCCUGUUAUGGACUGAAUUCUGUCCUCUCCCAAAUUCACAUGCUGAAGCCCUAACCCCCAGUACCUCAGCAUGUGAGUGUAUUUGGAGACAGGGCCUUUGAAGAGGUGAUUAAGGUUAAAUGAGGUCAUUAGGGUGGACCUUAAUCUAAUAUUAUAAUUUACAUAUUAUAUAUAAUAUAUAUUAUAAAUUAUAAAUUAUAUAUCAUAUAUUUUUAUAUAAUAUAUAAUAUAUACAAUAUAUGAUAUAUAAUAUAUAGUAUAUAAUAUAUAACAAAUUAUAUAUAAUACAUAAAAUAUAUAAUAUUAUAUAUCAUAUAUUAUAUAUAAUAGUAUAUAUAUUUAUAUGAUAUAUAAUAUAUAUGUAUUAUAUAAAUGUUAUAUAUUUUAUUAUAUAUAAUAUAUAUGUAAAUUAUAAUAUAUAUUAUAUAUUGUAUAAAUUAUAAUAUAUAAUAAAUAUACCAUAUUAGAUAUAUUGUAACUUAUAUAUUAUAUAAUUUAUAUAUUAUAAUAUAUAAAUUAUAUCUAAUAUGGUGUCCUCAUAAGAAGAGGGGAUUAGGACAUAUAGAGACAGAUGGCAGGGCUGUGCACGUACAGAGGAAAGACCAUGUGAGGACACAGUGAGAAGAUGGCCAGCUAUUACACAAGCCAUGGAGAGAGGCCUCGGGAGACACCAACGUGGCCGACACCUUGAUCUUGGACUUUUAGCCUCCAGAGCUGAGAAAAUAUUAAUAAAUUUCUGUUGGUUAAGUCACUUAGUCUGUGGAAUCGUGUUGUGGCAAUCUUCAACUAAUACACCUCCUAAUAAAAUACUUGUUUCUAAAGGGGGAGUUGUUGCAUGUUGAGGUUUUUACUGUGCACCUCUGUCUGGGGUGAAUGCUGGCAAACUGCAGGAAGACUGCGCCAUAAACCCUAUCAUGGUUUGGCUUCUUCCUUGACCCACUCAGAAAAAGUUCAGUUCUUCUGAAAAACUCACGAGUACUCCACAAGGUGGCACAUAUCACCCUCCACACCAUCCUCAUCUCGAGGUCUCUGUAGUACACCUGAGACCAAGGGGGGAGCUCGUGUACAUUCUGGUCUUUGUCAACAGUGACUCCCAACCACACCCUUAUUCUUUCAAAAUAUAUUUUAUUAGCGGCACAUGGAAUGUCAAGUUAAGCAAAUUCUUUCCAGAGAGAAGGUGAGCCUGACAGACUAAAACGUUGAGCACGGAUGAUACAGCAGAAAUAACAUUUCCAGUGUAAUGAGAGAUAAAGAGGAAUACUGCCCACCGAGGAAAUGACUUUCUUCACCAUGCUGACCACACUGCACAGCGCCCGAUCCGGCUGGUGAGGAUGGGGAGGUGGGAAGAAUCUCAAAGCACUGGACAGGGUGAGGACUCAGGAAGUCACGGGGUCAGCCCUACAGCAUCAGCUCCUCUCUGUUGUUGGAGAGGCCCUGAGCCCCAUUACUCACUAUACGAGGACCAGAGUGUCUUUGGCAGGUGGAGGCUGGCUCACGGGAGAACACCAAGUGAGGGGGCUCCUCUGUGAACCCAAGAAACUUCAAGGAACCCCACAGCGUCUCCCUUAUGACCUCCCAUCUCCAGAUUAGGAAGCUAUGGAUUCCCAGAGGGUCCUUUGGAAGUAUCUAGAAAUGUCCAGGGUGAGUCUAGCCAGGUUCACCUUCAGGAUGCUUUCCCCAUGCCCUGUGGUUGAGACGGCUCCGAUGUCAUUGUCGGCAUAACCUCCAGCUCCUGCUCAAAAAGGGUGAUUGUUCUGAGCAGUAACAGUCAAGAAAUUCAAAUCCAUAUUAGAAGUCGGACGCUACAUGAAAGUUAAAUCGCGAAGGGUGCUCAAGUACCGACAAAGGUCAGGUUAGUAGCCAUGAUCUGCGGAGGCAAAGGUGGACUAGAAAGCGUCAUGUAGAUGCCCCAGAAUUUAGGAGGAUAAAGGGAGCCUCAGAGGGGCAGGCCUGACCUUUCACAGAGCAGCUACAGCAGGACAGCAUCUCCUUGGCCCCAAAGCACAGCCAUUCCUUUUUGCUCAAUGAAGCCACCCUCUCCCUGUCUCCUCCUCAUGCCCCACACACUAUGGAGGAAGAAACAGCAUGACUGCAUUAUAUGGAUCUCUAGCAAGGCCAUCAUGUUCCAGUGAUUUGGGGAAAAUGAUACCCACAACCUAACAUCCAUGCACACUGUCUAAUGGAGGGCAGUUAUAUUUGUUGAGGGUGGGCAUAAUUGGACCUGAGGGAACUAUUCUGGGCUAUCCACUUAAGUGGGGGUCUGGAGUGAAAGCUACUUUGAUAAGAUUUCUUCCUUAUUUUGGGCUUGGAUUAAGCAACCUUACAGCCUUCUCUGAGUCAUUCUUGUAUCUGUUCACACACAGCUACCAGCCUCAGAGUCCUUUAGCCUUGGAAGGAUUCGCCUUUACCCUCCCACAGUUGAUACAGAAGCACAGAAGAUUGACAUUUGCCUUACUUAUUGAUGCUGGACAUGGGGCAAGGACUCAGGAGUUGAGAUGCUGCAUUGGAUUGUCACAAGGCCCCAGAGGUUCUCAAAGGCAGAUAAUCCCUGGCUCUGGUUCUGGAGGGAGCUGACACUGGACAGCCAAUGAACUGCUGCAGUGGGAGGAGGCGCCUUUACUUUUUCUUAUAAGCUUCUGCUGGGGAAUUAACUGACCGGGUUCCAUGGUGUCAAAGUGCCCUAAUAUUUGGAAGCAGCCAAGUCUUUGCUUACUUUUCAGUUACUCUAGGACCACAGAAGGCCAGGUGUCUCCAAGGGUGGUCCUGGCACAGGCAUCGGGCGUGUGAAGCUGUCCUCCCCGCCACAUGCACUUCUCAGGACAAGUGCAUUGCCUGAGGUGACCACUGCUGAGCCUAGUACCGUCCCCCAUGACUGUCCAGGCAGGGGCCUGGCCAGUGGCAGUGCUCCUUGGGGAGGCUCCUCAGAAGGCCAGGCAGAGCACACCUGGUGCUCACAGCUGGACAGAGAGUUCUGAGAAUUUAGCUUAUGCCUUUUCUUGUCAAGAUUUACCACUGUAACUCAAGCUUAAAAUUAAUUUCUAGGAUCUAACCUGGAGUGGCCCUGUGGCCUGGUCUGAACGCAGCUGAAGCAAGCUGCACUACUGACCAGGCACAGUUUGGUGGGAUUUUUGCCAAGGAGAAAGAAAGGUAGACUACUUCACAUCUCUUGGGUGAUAUACCAAGGAGAAGAGGAGUUACCAAGCCUCUACUCUUUUUAAGGAAGCUUCCAGUGUCUCUGAGUUCAUGACAGAAAAAGGGUAUCAAGAAUUGUCGAGAGUGUAGAUUAUUACUAAAGACUAGAGCAACACAUUAAAAAGGGAAGGUAGGGCUAGUUUUCCUCUAAAAGAAUAAGCUGCUCUUUAGGGCAGAUGGAACAAUUUAGCUGCUUCUCAAAACUUCAGUCACCUGUGGGGGUUCAUGAGGAUUCCUGCAUGACAAGUGUGAAAGUCUGCACGGAGUGAAACAUACAGCCCCCCAGCCCUGCCUCUCACCCACUCCUGGGAAUGAGAUGGCGUGCUUCC
rnacentral:lncRNA from 10 species